rnacentral:rRNA from 1 species
AUUGAACGCUGGCGGCAGGCCUAACACAUGCAAGUCGAGCGGAUGAGAGGAGCUUGCUCUUCGAUUCAGCGGCGGACGGGUGAGUAAUGCCUAGGAAUCUGCCUAGUAGUGGGGGACAACGUUUCGAAAGGAACGCUAAUACCGCAUACGUCCUACGGGAGAAAGUGGGGGAUCUUCGGACCUCACGCUAUUAGAUGAGCCUAGGUCGGAUUAGCUAGUUGGUAGGGUAAAGGCCUACCAAGGCGACGAUCCGUAUCUGGUCUGAGAGGAUGAUCAGUCACACUGGAACUGAGACACGGUCCAGACUCCUACGGAAGGCAGCAGUGGGGAAUAUUGGACAAUGGGCGAAAGCCUGAUCCAGCAAUGCCGCGUGUGUGAAGAAGGCCUUCGGGUCGUAAAGCACUUUAAGUUGGGAGGAAGGGCUCAUAGCGAAUACCUGUGAGUUUUGACGUUACCAACAGAAUAAGCACCGGCUAACUUCGUGCCAGCAGCCGCCGUAA